CCCAUACAGCACAGAUCAUUGCAAUUAUAUUGCAGCAACAUUGCAAUGUUGCAAAUUGCAAUGCAACAUUACAAAGACAUUGCAGAAAUAUAGAGCCACAAAGUACCAGCACACUUGUAGCAACAUGACAUUAAUAUUUCGGAAAUAUUGCAAAAUUCAAUUUUUAUAUAAUUUUAAUAAUAAAAUAUUAUAAUAAAAUAAUUUUUUGCAAUAUUUCUACAUGAAAGAUGUUAACGAUAAACAAUACUAAAUGGUUCAUUUUAUUAAAACAUUUUUCUUAAAUUGGCUUAUAUUGCUGCACUGUAUGCUUUGCGCAGCACAUGUACGCGUUCGCAAUUGUGUGCGUGUGUAGUAGGCGCCGGUCUUGCUGCACAUAUCUGUGAUUGUCGUGUAUUUCGUGAUUCACAUUUUUUAUUGUUGCGUACGAGAAAAGACAUUUAACAAAGGAAAACAAUAAUGGACAAAAUUCAAUAAAUUAUUAGUGGUAAUAAAAGCGGCUCGUAAAGCUGAACCAUUUUUAUAUAUUUCUCUAAUAUAAAAAAAAUAUAUUUUUAUUUCGUGAACAUGUUAAGUGCAAUAAUAUGUUAUGUGCAAUGUUAUGUUAUUUAUAACGUUAACAUAAGUACAAAUCAAGACAUUUAAUUACAAUGUAUCGUCAAUAAUUACAUAUUUAUAUACCC